rfam:Myotis lucifugus cont2.48503, whole genome shotgun sequence.
AGACACCCUUCUGGGGCAAGACUUGCUUCAGUGGGGCUUUGGUGCUCACUGAGUCUGCCUCCUGAGUGUGUCCCU